UACGUAGGGUGCGAGCGUUACUCGGAAUUACUGGGCGUAAAGCGUGCGCAGGCGGCGCGUUAAGACAGGUGUGAAAGCCCCGAGCUUAACUUGGGAAUUGCGCUUGUGACUGGCGAGCUGGAGUGUGGCAGAGGAGGGUGGAAUUCCGCGUGUAGCAGUGAAAUGCGUAGAGAUGCGGAGGAACACCGAUGGCGAAGGCAGCCCUCUGGGCUAACACUGACGCUCAGGCACGAAAGCGUGGGGAGCAAACAGG
rnacentral:rRNA from 1 species